rnacentral:rRNA from 1 species
AGAGUUUGAUCCGUGGCUCAGAAUCAACGCUGGCGGCGUGCCUCAGACAUGCAAGUCGAACGCGAAAGCCCUUCGGGGCAAGUAGAGUGGCGCACGGGUGAGUAACACGUAGGUAAUCUACCUUUGGAUUGGGAAUAACAACCGGAAACGGUUGCUAAUACCGAAUAAUGCAGCGGCACCUAAUGGUGACAGUUGUUAAAGCGGGGGAUCGCAAGACCUCGCGUCUGAAGAGGAGCCUGCGGCAGAUUAGCUAGUUGGUAAGGUAAUGGCUUACCAAGGCGAUGAUCUGUAGCCGGCCUGAGAGGGCGGUCGGCCACACUGACACUGACAUACGGGUCAGACUCCUACGGGAGGCAGCAGUCGGGAAUUUUGGGCAAUGGGCGAAAGCCUGACCCAGCAACGCCGCGUGAAGGAUGAAAUCCCUCGGGAUGUAAACUUCGCAAGAACGGGAAGAAUAAGUGAGAGCUAACAUCUCUUACGAUGACGGUACUGUUUGUAAGCUCCGGCUAACUCCGUGCCAGCAGCCGCGGUAAUACGGGGGGAGCAAGCGUUGUUCGGAUUUACUGGGCGUAGAGGGCGCGUAGGCGGCCACCGCAAGUCGACUGUGAAAUCUCCGGGCUUAACCCGGAACGGUCAGCCGAUACUGCGGGGCUAGAGUGCAGAAGGGGCAACUGGAAUUCUCGGUGUAGCGGUGAAAUGCGUAGAUAUCGAGAGGAACACCUGCGGCGAAGGCGGGUUGCUGGGCUGACACUGACGCUGAUGCGCGAAGGCUAGGGGAGCGAACGGGAUUAGAUACCCC